rnacentral:tRNA from 1 species
UGUCAUGGGGCUUAGUGGUAGAGCACUUGCUUAGCACGCACAAAGCCCUGGGUUCCAUCCCCAGCACCACAA